GAGGAGCCACAAUAUCCCAACAAGUCUUAGGAAAACAGCAGUUAAAGCCAUCAGGACCUGGAGCUUUGUCACUAGUUCUUACAUUUUUCAGUUUAGUAUUCAGAAUAAUUGUUGGAUUGUUGCUUUUAACAGGUAUUUUCCAAGCAUUACUUACUGUUUCUUUAAAUCCUAGAUGUUGACCCAAAUAUUCUCAAUCUGAAAUGCUUUACUUCUGGGGAUUUUUUUGUUCCGUGUCAGACUCGGUGCCAAAGAAAGAGUCGAUUCGAAGCCUGCCA